ACUCCUACGGGAGGCAGCAGUGGGGAAUAUUGCACAAUGGGGGAAACCCUGAUGCAGCCAUGCCGCGUGUGUGAAGAAGGCCUUCGGGUUGUAAAGCACUUUCAGUAGGGAGGAAGGUAGUGUAGUUAACACCUGCAUUAUUUGACGUUACCUACAGAAGAAGCACCGGCUAACUCCGUGCCAGCAGCCGCGGUAAUACGGAGGGUGCGAGCGUUAAUCGGAAUUACUGGGCGUAAAGCGCAUGCAGGCGGCCUGUUAAGUCAGAUGUGAAAGCCCGGGGCUUAACCUCGGAAUUGCAUUUGAAACUGGCAGGCUAGAGUCUUGUAGAGGGGGGUAGAAUUUCAGGUGUAGCGGUGAAAUGCGUAGAGAUCUGAAGGAAUACCAGUGGCGAAGGCGGCCCCCUGGACAAAGACUGACGCUCAGAUGCGAAAGCGUGGGGAGCAAACAGGAUUAGAUACCCUGGUAGCACAGGGC
rnacentral:rRNA from 1 species